AUUGAACGCUGGCGACGUGCUUAACACAUGCAAGUCGUGCGAGAAAGUAGGCUUCGGUCUAUGAGUAGAGCGGCGCACGGGUGAGUAACGCGUGGAUGAUCUACCCUUGAGUUCGGGAUAACGGAACGAAAGAUCCGCUAAUACCGUAUAACAAUCCAUUUCAACGUGGGUUCAAAGCAGGCCUCUUCGUGAAAGCUUGCGCUUGGGGAUGAGUCCGCGUCCCAUUAGCUUGUUGGCGGGGUAACGGCCCACCAAGGCAACGAUGGGUAGCUGGUCUGAGAGGAUGAUCAGCCACACUGGAACUGAAACACGGUCCAGACUCCUACGGGAGGCAGCAGUGGGGAAUAUUGCGCAAUGGGGGAAACCCUGACGCAGCGACGUCGUGUGAGGGAAGAAGGCCUUCGGGUCGUAAACCUCUGUCAGAAGGGAAGAAAAACCAGGAGUCAAAUAGCCUCUUGGUCUGACGGUACCUUCAAAGGAAGCGCCGGCUAACUCCGUGCCAGCAGCCGCGGUAAUACGGAGGGCGCAAGCGUUAAUCGGAAUUACUGGGCGUAAAGCGUGCGUAGGCUGUUUGAUAAGUCAGGCGUGAAAUCCCUCGGCUCAACCGGGGAACUGCGUUUGAUACUGUUGAACUCGAGUCCUGGAGAGGGUGGCGGAAUUCCUGGUGUAGGAGUGAAAUCCGUAGAUAUCAGGAGGAACACCGGUGGCGAAGGCGGCCACCUGGACAGGUACUGACGCUGAGGCACGAAAGCGUGGGGAGCAAACAGGAUUAGAUACCCUGGUAGUCCACGCGGUAAACGAUGGAUGCUAGGUGUCGGGGAGCGAUCUUCGGCGCCGCAGCUAACGCAUUAAGCAUCCCGUCUGGGGAGUACGGUCGCAAGGCUGA
rnacentral:rRNA from 1 species